CGCUUUAAUUAUAUAUCAGAUUAUUUUCUCUACUGCUCUGUCAGCAAUGGCAUGGAAAUAGCUAAAAUGUUCUAAGGUGCUGGGAACUCCGCGUCUCUUUAUAAGGCAGGAUUCUUUUUCGUUAUCGAGAUUUACUUGACAAAUUCACAAUCUAAGCAUCACAAAAUUAGCCGGCGUUGCGCGCACCCGGUCGUUCGAGCGAACGUGUUGCGUUCACUAAGUUGGCAUGGGCGCCAUAGGUUGCUGCCCCCGCCAACGUUCUUAGUUCUUUUACGUUGGCACCCGCUGCGUUUACCGGAAUUUUUAAGUAUAGUAACUCUAUGACUACCACUCUGGAACUGGAACGUCAUGGCUCGCGUCUCGUUCGCACGCGCACCGUAUGCAUGAUGUGGCUUGCUUCUUGUUUUUGGCGGAUGUUUAGAAGCCUUAAGUUGCGGACACUGCGAUGGGCCAGUGCUUGAUGACAUUUGCUGCCCAGCUGCUGGUGCUACCGCGACGCACUUGGAGCACAGCUUCUGCUUAUUUCAUCUGCCCGCACCGUAUAUUUGUUGUGUUUAUCAAGACCUGGCCUGUCAGUGCGUCAUUGAAGACAAAUGGACACAAGUACUGGUUCGUGUUGUGUUGCUCAAUCUGAACCUGGAGGCUAAGCAAAUGGUGAUGUAGCAACACUGUGAAGAGCGAACAAAAUGGAUGACUGCCUCUGCAGCAAAAUGUUGUGUGAAGAACAUUUUCCAUGCUUUUUCACUACCUGAGCAAGACUACAAGCAGUGCAGAGCUAAAACAAAAUGCCUCUUAAUUCAAUUUGAUCUUUUGACCUAGGAAGCCGUCAACUGGCUUCCUAGGUCGCACAGCAAGCACAUGCUUUGGGCAAGGAGGGAGCCAGCACCAUAUCUACGUCAGCAAGAACAUCAGUGCAGAAAAUAAACAUUUUCUGUGCAAGUACCU